AGUGAACGCUGGCGGUAGGCCUAACACAUGCAAGCCGAACGGCAGCACAGGAGAGCUUGCUCUCUGGGUGGCGGGUGGCGGACGGGUGAGGAAUACAUCGGAAUCUACUCUGUCGUGGGGGAUAACGUAGGGAAACUUACGCUAAUACCGCAUACGACCUACGGGUGAAAGCAGGGGAUCUUCGGACCUUGCGCGAUUGAAUGCGCCGAUGUAGGAUUAGCUAGUUGGCGGGGUAAAGGCCCACCAAGGCGAUGAUCCGUAGCUGGUCUGAGAGGAUGAUCAGCCACACUGGAACUGAGACACGGUCCAGACUCCUACGGGAGGCAGCAGUGGGGAAUAUUGGACAAUGGGCGCAAGCCUGAUCCAGCCAUACCGCGUGGGUGAAGAAGGCCUUCGGGUUGUAAAGCCCUUUUGUUGGGAAAGAAAUCCAGCUGGCUAAUACCCGGUUGGGAUGACGGUACCCAAAGAAUAAGCACCGGCUAACUUCGUGCCAGCCGCCGCCGUAA
rnacentral:rRNA from 1 species